UUAGGUGGCUAUAGCGUAGGGGUUCCACCUCUUCCCAUUCCGAACAGAGAAGUUAAGCCCUACUGCGCCGAUGGUACUGAUCGCAAUUCGGGAGAGUAGGUCGCUGCCUUUU
rnacentral:rRNA from 1 species